ACAGGGAUUGCCCUAGUAACGGCGAGUGAAGCGGCAACAGCUCAAAUUUGAAAUCUGGCUCUUUCAGAGUCCGAGUUGUAAUUUGCAGAGGGCGCUUUGGCUUUGGCAGCGGUCCAAGUUCCUUGGAACAGGACGUCACAGAGGGUGAGAAUCCCGUACGUGGUCGCUAGCUAUUGCCGUGUAAAGCCCCUUCGACGAGUCGAGUUGUUUGGGAAUGCAGCUCUAAAUGGGAGGUAAAUUUCUUCUAAAGCUAAAUAUUGGCCAGAGACCGAUAGCGCACAAGUAGAGUGAUCGAAAGAUGAAAAGCACUUUGGAAAGAGAGUCAAACAGCACGUGAAAUUGUUGAAAGGGAAGCGCUUGCAGCCAGACUUGCUUGCAGUUGCUCAUCCGGGCUUUUGCCCGGUGCACUCUUCUGCAGGCAGGCCAGCAUCAGUUUGGGCGGUGGGAUAAAGGUCUCUGACACGUUCCUUCCUUCGGGUUGGCCAUAUAGGGGAGACGUCAUACCACCAGCCUGGACUGAGGUCCGCGCAUCUGCUAGGAUGCUGGCGUAAUGGCUGUAAGCGGCCCGUCUUGAAACACGGACCAAGGAGUCUAACAUCUAUGCGAGUGUUUGGGUGUCAAGCCCGAGCGCGUAAUGAAAGUGAACGGAGGUGGGAACCCGCAAGGGCGCACCAUCGACCGAUCCUGAAGUUUACGGAAGGAUUUGAGUAAGAGCAUGGCUGUUGGGACCCGAAAGAUGGUGAACUAUGCUUGAAUAGGGUGAAGCCAGAGGAAACUCUGGUGGAGGCUCGCAGCGGUUCUGACGUGCAAAUCGAUCGUCAAAUUUGGGCAUAGGGGCGAAAGACUAAUCGAAC
rnacentral:rRNA from 1 species